CGUACAGGUUUCCGUAGGUGAACCUGCGGAAGGAUCAUUAAAGAGUAAGGGUGCUCAGCGCCCGACCUCCAACCCUUUGUUGUUAAAACUACCUUGUUGCUUUGGCGGGACCGCUCGGUCUCGAGCCGCUGGGGAUUCGUCCCAGGCGAGCGCCCGCCAGAGUUAAACCAAACUCUUGUUAUUAAACCGGUCGUCUGAGUUAAAAUCUUGAAUAAAUCAAAACUUUCAACAACGGAUCUCUUGGUUCUCGCAUCGAUGAAGAACGCAGCGAAAUGCGAUAAGUAACGUGAAUUGCAGAAUUCAGUGAAUCAUCGAAUCUUUGAACGCACAUUGCGCCCCUUGGUAUUCCGAGGGGCAUGCCUGUUCGAGCGUCAUUACACCACUCAAGCUAUGCUUGGUAUUGGGUGCCGUCCUUAGUUGGGCGCGCCUUAAAGACCUCGGCGAGGCCACUCCGGCUUUAGGCGUAGUAGAAUUUAUUCGAACGUCUGUCAAAGGAGAGGAACUCUGCCGAUUGAAACCUUUUAUUUUUCUAGGUUGACCUCGGAUCAGGUAGGGAUACCCGCUGAACUUAAGCAUA
rnacentral:rRNA from 1 species